rnacentral:rRNA from 1 species
UACGGGGGGUGCAAGCGUUGUCCGGAAUCAUUGGGCGUAAAGGGAACGCAGGCGGUCUUUUAAGUCUGAUGUGAAAGCCUUCGGCUUAACCGGAGUAGUGCAUUGGAAACCGGGCGACUUGAGUGCAGAAGAGGACAGUGGAACUCCAUGUGUAGCGGUGGAAUGCGUAGAUAUAUGGAAGAACACCAGUGGCGAAGGCGGCUGUCUGGUCUGUAACUGACGCUGAGGUUCGAAAGCGUGGGUAGCAAACAGG